rnacentral:precursor_RNA from 2 species
CAGGAAUUAAAGAGAGACCGCAACUACAAGAUAGAUGCCCAUAUUUUAGAGAAGAAAAAGGAGAAAGCUUUCAGGCAUCUGUGUGUCAAAAAGUUCAUGAUUACACCAAUCUGCAUGCCAUACUACACGAAAACCAACACAAGGAGCGAGAAAUUCGCCGGGAUAAUCAUACCCUAAAGAUUCCUGCGCACGCCCAAACCAAGAAAUCGCCCAAGAAAAGAAUCGUUUGAUGUCCAAUCAGAGACUCACCAAAAUCUCGGGUAUGCAUGCGGUCCAAGAACCGCGGAGAUCGAUCGAUCGAUCGACGAGACAUACAUAAAUAUGGGAGCUUUACUUGAGGGGAAUGAAGCCUGGUCCGAGAUCAGUCUCUACAGAUCAAACCUGAUCGAUCAGAGGUUUCUCCAUGCACCUCGAGCCAGACAACAUUCCCCUCAAAGUGAAAAAGCUUCCUCUCUCUUUCUCUUGUUUCUUUCUCCCUUUUUGCAGUGAUUCUUUCUCUCAUCCUUCUCCUGUUCCUCUCCCUUGUUUCAAGGGGGGAGAGAACUCCAGGGAUGGGGAGGACGAUGACGGUCUGUUUGGUAUCUUAAAGAGGUAGAGAGAUAGAGAGAGAG